CUGCAGGGUAAGAUUUGGUCAGGCUUCUGGCUAUACUCCAGGAAUUUUCUGGUCCUGGAUAUAACCACUGACAGACUGAAUGGUGCUAAAG
rnacentral:pre_miRNA from 1 species